CCUCGGACGCGCACUCGUUGCCCUGCCCCGCCCCCUCCACCCCGUGCGGCUCACUAUCACGAAUAUUAUAACAGUGACGCAUAGACACCUCUGUGCGUCAGUACAUAUCUACCGCGCAUCCCCUUCUCUUUUUCUUCCCCCACCCACCCACCCACCCACUGCGGAUCUGAAAGCAGAGAGGCCCACACACACGCCCCAAUCGCGUGUUGCGCCGCAGUGUAGGCCCUCGUCCCCUCUCCCCCGUACUUAGUGCUGCCUUCUUCCUGUGACAGAAGAAACAUGCAGACGGCCACUGCCCCUUUCAUUCUGCGUUCCUUGUACAAGGAUGCGCACAUCAGCGACACGCAAAUCGCACGACCGAUCACAGAGUUAAUGAUGAAUACCAUCGGUGCACAGCUCACGAACAAGUACGAUACACACAUCCCUGCAAUAGCCUGCUCCCUCUACACACUCUUUUCGAUGUCUCGAGUGCAGACGCUCGGGCAGGAGUUUUGUGACCUGCUGCCCGUGGUCAAGGCGCAUCCGUGGCAGCCGGUCGGGCCGGCGCGCGUGUUCCUGCUCGCUGUGCUGCAACUUGUCGAGCCGACGGCGGUGUUCAUGGUGGCCCGCAAGCUCUUCCCUGACAUGUCCACGGCCGAUGUUGAGGAGGUGCUGAAGAAGGCAGUACUUUGCGCGCUGUUUCUCUUCGAGCGCUUCGGCACGCUUCCACAUCGCAUCGUGCGGGUACGGUUCCUGAGCCUGAAGCCGUCGCGGGCCUUGCAGGACAGCGAUGGUGCUCCGGGCUCGUACUUUGUUCUUGGCCUCGUGCUGCUGGUAGAGCUGGUCGUGCGCCUUUGGCGUUACAGCAAGGAGCGCACGUCGCGCGAGGCGAAGCGGUCGACUGAGGCGGCCGUCAUCACCAGCAGCGACGAGGAUGCCGAGGACGCGCGGCCCGGGAAGUGCAUGCUGUGCCUGAGCAAUCGCAAGUGCCCAACUGCGACGAACUGCGGCCACAUCUUUUGUUGGCGGUGCAUCGCUGAGUGGAUCCAGUCGAACCCGCAGGAGGCCGUGUGCCCGUUCUGCCGCCAGCACAUCACGACGCAGUCGUUGGUGCCGCUGUACUUCUACGUCGCCAAAGAGCCGCCACGUGUGGGGACCGCGACGGACGACGCCGCCUCACCCGCCACUUGAGGGGGAUAGCUCACUGAAACUUGUCACCGAGACGCAAUGAGGCUCUAGGUGGUAUGUGCGCUCGUGUCCGCCCAUUGGCGCACACGCCUUCAGCAGUGCUGGGCGACUGCGUUGCCAUGGUAGUGUGCAUGCUUUGCUAUUUCCGUUUGUGCUGCGAUGCGCAGCACAGCUUC
rnacentral:misc_RNA from 1 species